rnacentral:rRNA from 1 species
UACGGAAGGCAGCAGUGGGGAAUAUUGCACAAUGGGCGCAAGCCUGAUGCAGCCAUGCCGCGUGUAUGAAAAAGGCCUUCGGGUUGUAAAGUACUUUCAGUCGUGAGGAAGGUGUUAAGGUUAAUAACCUUAGCAAUUGACGUUAGCGACAGAAGAAGCACCGGCUAACUCCGUGCCAGCAGCCGCGGUAAUACGGAGGGUGCGAGCGUUAAUCGGAAUUACUGGGCGUAAAGGGCACGCAGGCGGUUAAUUAAGUUGGAUGUGAAAUCCCCGGGCUUAACCUGGGAAUGGCAUUCAAGACUGGUUAGCUAGAGUCUUGUAGAGGGGGUAGAAUUCCAUGUGUAGCGGUGAAAUGCGUAGAGAUGUGGAGGAAUCCGGUGGCGAAGGCGGCCCCUGGACAAAGACUGACGCUCAUGUGCGAAAGCGUGGGGAGCAAACAGGGAUUAGAUACC